UGACGUGCUUGCACUGAAUGAGAUUUURACACSAAGUGAGKGGCGGACGGGUGAGUAACACSUGGGUAACCUGSCSRGAAGCAGGGGAUAACRCCUGGAAACAGAUGCUAAURCCGUAUAACAGAGAAAACCGSCUGGKUUUCUUUUAAAAGAUGGCUCUGCUAKCACUUCUGGAUGGACCCGCGGCGCAUUAGSUAGUUGGUGAGGUAACGGCUCACCAAGGCGAUGAUGCGUAGCCGACCUGAGAGGGUAAUCGGCCACAUUGGGACUGAGACACGGCCCAGACUCCUACGGGAGGCAGCAGUAGGGAAUCUUCCACAAUGGACGCAAGUCUGAUGGAGCAACGCCGCGUGAGUGAAGAAGGGUUUCGGCUCGUAAAGCUCUGUUGUUAAAGAAGAACGUGGGUGAGAGUAACUGUUCACCCAGUGACGGUAUUUAACCAGAAAGCCACGGCUAACUACGUGCCAGCAGCCGCGGUAAUACGUAGGUGGCAAGCGUUAUCCGGAUUUAUUGGGCGUAAAGCGAGCGCAGGCGGUCUUUUAAGUCUAAUGUGAAAGCCUUCGGCUCAACCGAAGAAGUGCAUUGGAAACUGGGAGACUUGAGUGCAGAAGAGGAYAGUGGAACUCCAUGUGUAGCGGUGAAAUGCGUAGAUAUAUGGAAGAACACCAGUGGCGAAGGCGGCUGUCUGGUCUGUAACUGACGCUGAGGCUCGAAAGCAUGGGUAGCGAACAGGAUUAGAUACCCUGGUAGUCCAUGCCGUAAACGAUGAUUACUAAGUGUUGGAGGGUUUCCGCCCUUCAGUGCUGCAGCUAACGCAUUAAGUAAUCCGCCUGGGGAGUACGACCGCAAGGUUGAAACUCAAAAGAAUUGACGGGGGCCCGCACAAGCGGUGGAGCAUGUGGUUUAAUUCGAAGCUACGCGAAGAACCUUACCAGGUCUUGACAUCUUCUGCCAACCUAAGAGAUUAGGCGUUCCCUUCGGGGACAGAAUGACAGGUGGUGCAUGGUUGUCGUCAGCUCGUGUCGUGAGAUGUUGGGUUAAGUCCCGCAACGAGCGCAACCCUUAUUACUAGUUGCCAGCAUUCAGUUGGGCACUCUAGUGAGACUGCCGGUGACAAACCGGAGGAAGGUGGGGACGACGUCAAAUCAUCAUGCCCCUUAUGACCUGGGCUACACACGUGCUACAAUGGAUGGUACAACGAGUYGCGAAACCGCGAGGUUUAGCUAAUCUCUUAAAACCAUUCUCAGUUCGGACUGUAGGCUGCAACUCGCCUACACGAAGUCGGAAUCGCUAGUAAUCGCGGAUCAGCAUGCCGCGGKGAAUACGUUCCCGGGCCUUGUACACACCGCCCGUCACAMCAUGAGAGUUUGUAACACCCAAAGCCGGUGGGGU
rnacentral:rRNA from 1 species